AUUCCCAGCCCCCUGUUGGGCGAGGGGUCCCCGUAUUCCCAGCCCCAGAGCCAGCUGCCUGUUGGGCGAGGGGUCCCCGUAUUCCCAGCCCCCUAGCCAGCUCCCUGUUGGGCGAGGAGUCCCCGUAUUCCCAGCCCCCUAGCCAGCUCCCUGUUGGGCGAGGAGUCCCCGUAUUCCCAGCCCCCUGUUGGGCGAGGGGUCCCCGUAUUCCCAGCCCCAGAGCCAGCUCCCUGUUGGGCGAGGGGUCCCCGUAUUCCCAGCCCCAGAGCCAGCUCCCUGUUGGGCGAGGGGUCCCCGUAUUCCCAGCCCCAGAGCCAGCCCCCUGGCAGGGGAGGGGUCCCCAUAUUC